CAAGUUCAUCGAGAGAAAAACUUCCAAUGAAGUGGAGCAGCGUGGUUUACGUGAUUGCACUUUUGCUCAUGGCCUGCCUUGUUGUUGGUGCACAAUGUCGUCUUGAAACCCGAAGGACCUAUCAAGGCGGUCAUGCCAACGCGACUGCGACGGAAUUAUCGUUAGAUGAGAGCAAGAUUCACUUCAAAUUUUGUGUGCUUUUGGACUGCAAGACCAAACGUGAAGCAAUGACAAAAGGAUGCCUGUGUUGCGUCACAAAGCCAGAAAUACCGUGUUUUCAUUCUGUAGAAGAAUGUCAGGCAAAUUGCCCACCCAUAAAAUCAAAAUAAGGGAUGGUAUUACUGAAACAUGUAAAAUAUAGCACGUCGCUAUUCGAAUAAGAUUUUGUGUUGAGUUCGA